rnacentral:rRNA from 1 species
UACGAAGGGGGCUAGCGUUGUUCGGAAUCAUUGGGCGUAACGAGCGUGUAGGCGGCCAGAUAAGUCCGCUGUGAAAUCUCGAGGCUCAACUUCGAGCUGUCGGUGGAAACUGUCUGGCUAGAGUCCGGAGGAGGAGAAUGGAAUUCCUGGUGUAGCGGUGAAAUGCGCAGAUAUCAGGAAGAACACCCGUGGCGAAGGCGGUUCUCUGGGACGGUACUGACGCUGAGACGCGAAAGCGUGGGGAGCGAACAGG